CUUCAGGGAGCCGAGCCAGAGCGGCUUGUCCUCGUCGCGGCCCUGGCCGUAGGUGGCGAGCAGUGCCUGCGCCUC
rfam:Actinobacteria bacterium OV450 ctg107, whole genome shotgun sequence.